rnacentral:rRNA from 1 species
UAGGGAAUCUUCCGCAAUGGGCGAAAGCCUGACGGAGCAACGCCGCGUGAGUGAUGAAGGUCUUCGGAUCGUAAAACUCUGUUAUCAGGGAAGAACAAAUGUGUAAGUAACUGUGCACAUCUUGACGGUACCUGAUCGGAAAGCCACGGCUAACUACGUGCCAGCAGCCGCGGUAAUACGUAGGUGGCAAGCGUUAUCCGGAAUUAUUGGGCGUAAAGCGCGCGUAGGCGGUUUUUUAAGUCUGAUGUGAAAGCCCACGGCUCAACCGUGGAGGGUCAUUGGAAACUGGAAAACUUGAGUGCAGAAGAGGAAAGUGGAAUUCCAUGUGUAGCGGUGAAAUGCGCAGAGAUAUGGAGGAACACCAGUGGCGAAGGCGACUUUCUGGUCUGUAACUGACGCUGAUGUGCGAAAGCGUGGGGAUCAAACA